rnacentral:rRNA from 1 species
UACAGAGGGGGCAAGCGUUGUUCGGAAUUACUGGGCGUAAAGGGCGCGUAGGCGGCCUUCUAAGUCGAACGUGAAAUCCCCGGGCUCAACCCGGGAACUGCGUCCGAUACUGGAAGGCUUGAAUCCGGGAGAGGGAUGUGGAAUUCCAGGUGUAGCGGUGAAAUGCGUAGGUAUCUGGAGGAACACCGGUGGCGAAGGCGACAUCCUGGACCGGUAUUGACGCUGAGGCGCGAAAGCCAGGGGAGCAAACGGGG